GAUGAAGAACGCAGCGAAAUGCGAUAAGUAAUGUGAAUUGCAGAAUUCAGUGAAUCAUCGAAUCUUUGAACGCACAUUGCGCCCCCUGGUAUUCCGGGGGGCAUGCCUGUUCGAGCGUCAUUUCACCACUCAAGCCUCGCUUGGUAUUGGGCAACGCGGUCCGCCGCGUGCCUCAAAUCGACCGGCUGGGUCUUCUGUCCCCUAAGCGUUGUGGAAACUAUUCGCUAAAGGGUGUUCGGGAGGCUACGCCGUAAAACAACCCCAUUUCUAAGGUUGACCCCGGAUCAGGUAGGGAUACCCGCUGAACUUAAGCAUAUCAAUAAGCGGAGGA
rnacentral:misc_RNA from 1 species